rnacentral:tRNA from 1 species
GAGUAGCUCAGUGGUAGAGCAGUUGACUGUUAAUCAAUUGGUCGGGGGUUCGAAUCCCUCCUC